UGGGGAAUAUUGCACAAUGGACGGAAGUUUGAUGCAGCGACGCCGCGUGGAGGGUGUAGGCCUUCGGGUUGUGAACUCCUUUUUCUCGCGAAAAAGGCACAGUUUUGGCUGUGUUGAUGGUAGUGGGGGAAGAAGCGCCGGCUAACUACGUGCCAGCAGCCGCGGUAAUACGUAGGGCGCGAGCGUUGUCCGGAUUUAUUGGGCGUAAAGAGUUCGUAGGCGGUUUGUCGCGUCGUUUGUGAAAACCAGCAGCUCAACUGCUGGCUUGCAGGCGAUACGGGCAGACUUGAGUACUGCAGGGGAGACUGGAAUUCCUGGUGUAGCGGUGAAAUGCGCAGAUAUCAGGAGGAACACCGGUGGCGAAGGCGGGUCUCUGGGCAGUAACUGACGCUGAGGAACGAAAGCGUGGGUAGCGAACAGG
rnacentral:rRNA from 1 species